rnacentral:ncRNA from 1 species
ACCGGCCGCGCGGGAGAGCGCGGGGCAGGCGACUGCACCGCCACCGAAGGAGCAACCGCCCCGGAAACUCUCAGGUCAAGGGACCGCGCAGCCGGA